AAACCUUAUCUAUUUUUAUUCGAACCGAAAAAUCCAAAGUUAUAUUAGAACCAUGCAUGUGAGUUUUAUAUUAAUAAAACGCAAAGUACAUAGUGUAAACACAUUUAUGAAUAUAGUGUAAACGCGUUAACAUACUUAUUAUCAAAUCAUUGUGAUGCUGCCACGUGUCAAUUAUAGUGUGAAUGCAUUUAUUACAAUGCUUAUCUUUUAAUAUCUAAGGGAUUCACAAAUCUAAUUAGGCAUAUAAAACCCAUAAAUGCAUCCGCGCUAGCCCUAGAAAAAAUUUAAGCAUGAACAUAAAAGGAUAAAUGGAACUAUUUUGAAGUAUAUGUAUCGUCCCUUGCUUCCCAAGCAAACAAAGGAACGUGACAGGAAAAUCCACAAGAAUCAACAAUAAGCGAGGAACAGUUACGGUUUUAACUACUCUUAUCUCUUCAUAACUUCUCUUGCUUGUUUCCUUCAACAUUGUGCGUCCGAUAUGACUACUACUAUUAAUAAUGUAAGUAAACACUACAAUUUUCUAAAGUUAUUUUCUAAAAUUUCUAUGUAAUUACUGUUAUAUGUAAUAAAAAUCCCGUCAAAAACAAAAGUUUAAUAUAUUUUACGUUUUGUGUACAGGAAAUUUGUAUCAUUAGGAAAUAAUUAUUUCCUUAUUUAUCGAUGUGUCUAGUUGGUGAUACUGCAGAAACAGUGUUCUAAAACGCGCUAGGCGUUAACUAUACCCCGUAUAUACGGAGUAUAUACAAAUAUAUGUUUUUAUACGAAAUAUAAGUAUAAGAUUAAUAUAUAUACAUUAUAUUUGACAAAACUGAACAUAAUAUAUUUUAGAUCCAAUUUUAUGUAUAAACAAGAUAUGAGCCUGUUGCGUUGCAACGGGUUUCGUUUAAUGUUUUAAUUUAAUAAAAAUCAUAAAAUAAUAAAUUAUUUUAUUAUAAUAUUAUGAUUGUUUUUUUGCAUAUGUUGUUUGAGAUUUUUUUAUAAUUAAAACCCGUUUUCACAAUUAAGUUCAAGGUAGUAUUUGUAUUUUAUAAUCAUGGUGCAUAGAUGAGUUGUUAUAAACUUUAUACUAAGGAUUAGAGAGAGUAUUAUACACAAACAUUUAAACUGAACACAAUCCGAAAUAUUUCCAAUUAAUAUUAACUAUUUUUAAAACUUGCAAUUUUCAAAUUCGUUUUUUCAAUAUCAUUUAUAUUUUUACAAUUUUUCUUGUUAAUUGAAUAAUUGUUACUAUUUUGUUAUCAUUAAAUUUUUGAAGUAAAAAUUACUAUUAAAUAAAAUUUUACAAUUCUCUCUGGUCACGAUUUAAAAAAAGAAGGAAAAAUUCUUAAUUGACUAAGAUUAGAAUAUAAUUUUCUUCUAGAAAUCGUUUUUAUUUAAGAUUUUAGGAAAAUAAUAAGUUAUUUUCACAUAAUGGAAGUUUUUAUUGACACAUUCACAAUCUAAUUUUUUAAUUGACAAUAUCACAAUCAUAUGAGGUGAAAUAUUUGAAGUUAAUUUUGGUUUAUAUUUUUUAACACAAAAUUAUUAAAAAGCAAAGUUAGUUAAUGAUAAGAAAAAUAAGAUUACUUUUACGUUUUAUUUUCUUUAAACGUUUAGAAAGAAAAUUAAUUAUUUUAUUUCUUUUAGAUUUUUAUACAUAUAUUUUAUUUUUAAUAGAAAAAUUAUGUUUAAUUAUUUAUAUAUUUUGACUUAUACAUACAAACACAUAUUUAUCAUAUUCACACAUACUCAUGUACAACAAUAACAUCAAAAUUAAAAAGUUAUGCUAGCAUCAUAAGAUGUAAUAAGGAUAAUAAAAAGUUGAGUUGUAUCAAGAAAUUAAAACAAAAUACUCAGAUAAUACUUUUCAUGUAAAUAUUAUUGUGUUUUGUAAAAAUAAUAUGUGGAAGCUUAAACCUAAAUAUAGAUGUGAAAUAUUUGUAGCUAUUUUUUGUCAUAGUUUUUUAACAUAAAAUUAUCUAUUAAAAAGGAAAGUUAUUUACUUAUAAGAAAACAAUAAGAUAAUAUUAUCUAUUUUAAAGUUAGUUUUUCUUCAUGUUUUUAUUAAAUAAUUUAUUGUACUUGUAGGAUUUUACAAUUCGUUUCUGUUUAACAUUUUUUUUCUUAAAAGUUAAUGUUUAUCUUUUAUAAUUAUCUAUCUUUAGUAUCUUUAAAAAAACAUUAUAAUGAAAAAAAAAUUAAUAAUAAUAAUAAUAAUAAUAAUAAUAAUAAUAAUAAUAAUAAUAAUAAUAAUAAUAAUAAUAAUAAUAAUAAUAAGGAAAAUACCUUAGAAUAACACUAAAAACGUUUUUGUCACAAAUAUAAACUCUAAA